rnacentral:rRNA from 1 species
UACGUAGGGUGCAAGCGUUUGUCCGGAAUUAUUGGGCGUAAAGAGCUCGUAGGCGGCUCGUUGCGUCGGCUGUGAAAACCCGCAGCUCAACUGUGGGCUUGCAGCCGAUACGGGCGGGCUGGAGUUCGGUAGGGGAGACUGGAAUUCCUGGUGUAGCGGUGAAAUGCGCAGAUAUCAGGAGGAACACCGGUGGCGAAGGCGGGUCUCUGGGCCGAUACUGACGCUGAGGAGCGAAAGCGUGGGGAGCGAACAGG